rnacentral:rRNA from 1 species
AUACGGAGGGUCCGAGCGUUAUCCGGAAUCAUUGGGUUUAAAGGGUCCGUAGGCGGGAAUCUAAGUCAGUGGUGAAAUCUUGCAGCUCAACUGUAAAAUUGCCAUUGAUACUGGAUUUCUUGAAUUAGUGUGAAGUGAUUAGAAUGUGUAGUGUAGCGGUGAAAUGCAUAGAUAUUACACAGAAUACCAAUUGCGAAGGCAGAUCACUAACACUAUAUUGACGCUGAGGGACGAAAGCGUGGGGAGCGAACAGGAUUAGAAACCCAGUAGUCCC